rnacentral:sRNA from 1 species
UUACCCCAUGAUGCUAGGUCCGCCGCAUCUCCUGGGUCGUGGGGUUGGCCGGCUGGUGACGACAUAAACGGAAUCCUCGUGCCGUUGUCUUCCCCAGCCGGCCCCCGA